UACGUAGGGACCAAGCGUUGUUCGGAUUUACUGGGCGUAAAGGGCGCGUAGGCGGAAAUUCAAGUCAUCUGUGAAAUCUCCGGGCUUAACCCGGAACGGUCAGGUGAUACUGUUUUGCUAGAGUGCGGAAGGGGCAAUCGGAAUUCUCGGUGUAGCGGUGAAAUGCGUAGAUAUCGGGAGGAACACCGGUGGCGAAGGCGGUUCUCUGGGCCUGACCUGACGCUGAGGAGCGAAAGCGUGGGGAGCGAACAGG
rnacentral:rRNA from 1 species